rnacentral:rRNA from 1 species
AGUCGAGCGAGAAAGUGUAGCAAUACAUGAGUACAGCGGCGCACGGGUGAGUAACACGUGGGUAAUCUGCCCUAGAGUGGGGAAUAACACCGGGAAACCGGUGCUAAUACCGCAUACGAUCACGAUGUCUGCGGACGUUGUGAUGAAAGGAGCAAUUCGCUCUUGGAGGAGCCCGCGGCUGAUUAGCUAGUUGGUAAGGUAAUGGCUUACCAAGGCUACGAUCAGUAUCCGGUCUGAGAGGACGGUCGGACACACUGGAACUGAGACACGGUCCAGACUCCUACGGGAGGCAGCAGUGGGGAAUUUUUCGCAAUGGGGGCAACCCUGACGAAGCAACGCCGCGUGGGUGAUGAAGUAUCUCGGUACGUAAAACCCUUUCGACGGGGAAGAAAACCGCAAGGUUUGACGGUACCCGUAGAAGAAGCCCCGGCUAACUCCGUGCCAGCAGCCGCGGUAAUACGGGGGGGGCAAGCGUUGUUCGGAAUUACUGGGCGUAAAGGGCGCGUAGGCGGUUUGCUAAGUCGAAUGUGAAAACUCUGGGCUUAACCCAGAGCCUGCAUUCAAUACUGGCAGGCUAGAGUUCUGGAGGGGAUAGCGGAAUUCCUGGUGUAGCGGUGAAAUGCGUAGAUAUCAGGAGGAACACCGGUGGCGAAGGCGGCUAUCUGGACUGAGUCUGACGCUGAGGCGCGAAAGCUAGGGGAGCAAACAGGAUUAGAUACCCUGGUAGUCCUAGCCCUAAACGAUGGAUACUUGCUGUGACUGGGAUUGAAUCCAGUCGUGGCGAAGCUAACGCAUUAAGUAUCCC